UCCGGUGGAGACCCAAUUGGCCCGGGCCACCGACUGCUGACGAACGGACUCUGUCAGACUGACCUGCAGGCCCGGCUAAAAGGACUACAAGCAGUACAGGCCCAAAUCUGGGCCCCCUUGGCAGAACUGUACCGGCCAGGACAUUCGCAGACCAGCCUCCCCUUCUAGGUGGGGGACUCCGUCUACGUUAGACGACACCGUUCUCAAGGACUGGAGCCUCGGUGGAAAGGACCCUACAUUGUUCUCCUGACCACACCCACAGCCAUAAAGGUUGACGGAAUCGCCACUUGGAUCCACACAUCCCACGCCAAGGCUGCUCCAGAGACGCCCGGACCACCUGGGACAUGGAGACUCCGUCGCUCCGAGGACCCCCUCAAGAUAAGACUCACUCGUACCUAACCCUUUACUUACUACUAUCCCUCCUUCCCCGCGUCGCUGA